AUGCAUCGAAGAAGAGCUCGGGGUACGGCCGCCGCCGCCGCCACGCGUGGAUGGUCUUCCUGUCCGGCCAUCCGCGUAGCCCACGCGGGCGAGCUGCAGAUUUGGAUGGGCUGCCUGGCCCACGCAGCGGAUGGCGGUGGUUCGAGCAACUCCUCGACGCAGGGGAAAAGAUUGGCGGCGCUGGAGUUCGCCGGAACGGGCAGGCGGCCGGUGGGUGACGCGAGGCCGCGGCGCCGGCGCGAGGAAGACGAGCGGAUCCGGGGCGGCGGCGACCGAUCCGGCUGCUGGUGCGGCGGCUUGCUCCGGUGGCGGCGGCGUCCUGCUCAUCCGUAG
rnacentral:rRNA from 1 species